AAGCGUGCCUAACUCUCCAUCUAUAACUGGUUCGUCUUCUUUGGACGGUUAGUUGCUUCCUCCCCACUUUGAAAUCUCGAUCUCCUUUCUUGUUGAUGGGCUUGUUGAAUGAUUCGUAUAUGUGUGGAUGUAGGGUGCAGGUGCUCUACUACAUGCUGCUGGAUAGUUUACCUGGACGUGUACGUCGCCAGUCGAGAGGCGUCUCCAUCUUGCGCAGACCGCCGUCUGGCUCUAUCAUUGAUCAAUUAUCUAUUACUUGCCGACGUGCUUUCUAGGCCGCUAGUUUUGUAUUUUGCCUAUAACUGCAUGAGUCAUUCUCGCUGAAAUGACAUGAUUUAGCUUUUAGUUCUUCUGGCCAAACAUGUGUUUUAGCCUUUUGCCUUUGCUUAUCAACAGUUGUUUUGCUUGUUUUUGAGCUACUGCCAGUUUGAGCUGAUGUAGGCCUGUAGUUAUUUAUUGCAACUGAGCUUCUAUAUUGCAUUGUUGGACCAUUGAUUGCCACCUCUUAGAUUUACUGUCAUAUGGAGUGGAUAAAUUUGCACCCAGCUUACUAGUAAUCUGAGCACUUGUU
rnacentral:lncRNA from 1 species